CACGUAGGGGACGAGCGUUGUCCGGAUUCAUUGGGCGUAAAGCGCACGUAGGCGGAUAUUUAAGUCAGGGGUGAAAUCCCGGGGCUCAACCCCGGAACUGCCUUUGAUACUGGGUAUCUCGAGUCCGAGAGAGGUGAGUGGAAUUCCGAGUGUAGAGGUGAAAUUCGUAGAUAUUCGGAGGAACACCAGUGGCGAAGGCGGCUCACUGGCUCGGUACUGACGCUGAGGUGCGAAAGCGUGGGGAGCAAACAGG
rnacentral:rRNA from 1 species